CUCCAGUAUCGUAGCCAAUGAGGUUUAUCUGAGGCACAAUUAUUGCUAAUUGAAAACUAAAAAAAAAAAAAAAAAAAAAAAAAAAAGAAUGGCCACUCUUUUUUGUUUGUUUGUUUUGUUUUUGAGACGGAGUUUCGCUCU
rnacentral:snRNA from 1 species